rnacentral:lncRNA from 1 species
UUUUUUUUUUUUUUUUUUUUUUUUUGGAGACCGGCUUUCUCUAUGUUGCCCAGGCUGGUCUCCAACUCUUGGACUCAAGCGAUCAUCCUGUCUCAGCCUCCCAAAAUGUGUCAUACCUUUUUAAUUGUGCAAUAGACAAGUAAAAAGGGUUAAGAAGAACUGAUACUCUUGGAAAAAAGAAAUAUACCUUUCAGUGCUAAUUGGGCAUUUACAAAAGUUAGUUAUAUAUUAAUAGAGGAAGGAACUCCAAAACGUUGAAAUACUAUAGGCUAAAUUCUCUAAAAUAGAAUAAAACUAGAAAUUAAUAUAAACAUGGAAACAACAAAGUCUCUUAACUAUCUAAAAAUUUACAUAUGCUAAAAAAUCCUGGAUUAAAGAGAAAUCAAACUUUAAGACAGGGUUGUCCAGUCUUUUGGUUUCCCUGGACCACACUGGAAGAAGAAUAGUUGUCUUAGACCACACAUAAAAUACAGUAACACUAAUGAUAGCUGAUUGAUAGGCUAAAAAAAAAA